rnacentral:rRNA from 1 species
UACGUAGGGUCCGAGCGCUGUCCGGAAUUAUUGGGCGUAAAGAGCUCGUAGGCGGUUUGUCGCGUCUGCUGUGAAAUCCCGAGGCUCAACCUCGGGCCUGCAGUGGGUACGGGCAGACUGGAGUGCGGUAGGGGAGAAUGGAAUUCCUGGUGUAGCGGUGGAAUGCGCAGAUAUCAGGAGGAACACCGAUGGCGAAGGCAGUUCUCUGGGCCGUAACUGACGCUGAGGAGCGAAAGCGUGGGGAGCGAACAGG